CCCUUAGAUGUUCUGGGCCGCACGCGCGCUACACUGACGAAUGCAACGAGCUUAUAACCUUGGCCGAAAGGUCUGGGUAAUCUCCAAAUUUCGUCGUGAUGGGGAUAGAUUAUUGCAAUUAUUAAUCUUCAACGAGGAAUGCCUAGUAAGCGCAAGUCAUCAGCUUGCGUUGAUUACGUCCCUGCCCUUUGUACACACCGCCCGUCGCUCCUACCGAUUGAAUGGUCCGGUGAAGCGUUCGGACCGUGGCCUUUGGACGGUUCGCCGUCUGUUGGCUGCGGGAAGUUCGUUAAACCUUAUCAUUUAGAGGAAGGAGAAGGCGUAACA
rnacentral:rRNA from 1 species